rnacentral:rRNA from 1 species
AGUCUGACGGAGCACGCCGCGUGAGUGAUGAAGGCUUUCGGGUCGUAAAACUCUGUUGUUAGGGAAGAACAAGUGCUAGUUGAAUAAGCUGGCACCUUGACGGUACCUAACCAGAAAGCCACGGCUAACUACGUGCCAGCAGCCGCGGUAAUACGUAGGUGGCAAGCGUUAUCCGGAAUUAUUGGGCGUAAAGCGCGCGCAGGUGGUUUCUUAAGUCUGAUGUGAAAGCCCACGGCUCAACCGUGGAGGGUCAUUGGAAACUGGGAGACUUGAGUGCAGAAGAGGAAAGUGGAAUUCCAUGUGUAGCGGUGAAAUGCGUAUAGAUAUGGAGGAACACCAGUGGCGAAGGCGACUUUCUGGUCUGUAACUGACACUGAGGCGCGAAAGCGUGGGGAGCAAACAGGAUUAGAUACC